UACAGAGGGUGCAAGCGUUAAUCGGAAUUACUGGGCGUAAAGCGUGCGUAGACGGUUAUUUAAGUCAGGUGUGAAAGCCCCGGGCUCAACCUGGGAAUUGCAUUUGAGACUGAAUAGCUAGGGUGCGGAAGAGGGAAGCGGAAUUUCCGGUGUAGCGGUGAAAUGCGUAGAUAUCGGAAGGAACACCAGUGGCGAAAGCGGCUUCCUGGUCCAGCACCGACGUCAGGCACGAAAGCGUGGGGAGCAA
rnacentral:rRNA from 1 species